rnacentral:lncRNA from 1 species
AUGAAGACAUCUAAGCUACUUCUGGAUUCCCUAGAAAACUUGUGCUGCCUAUUCUUUUCCAACUGUGUAGUCCUCUCCUGGCUGUUUCUGUGGUCCAGCAGACUGUGGAGAAAUAGCUUACUAUUCCAUUAGAAAGAAGAUCUUGUGUAAUAAAAAUAAGAAGUGGUAUCAGGUCAUGGGAGCUUUGGAAAUGGAAUCGAGAUUUGGUGCUUGUCUUUGCCUCUGUGGCUAACAAGGUUAAAGAUUUCUUGACUUCCCUCUGGUGAAGCUUGAUACCAACUGACCUAUAAGGGCUUGGUUUUCACAACAGAGUCUUAGUCCACCCUCGCCAUCGCACCAAAUACUGAGAGAACAAAUAAAAUUAUUGCUUGAAGAAACGAAGUA